rnacentral:piRNA from 1 species
UCUAAGGGAAUGGGUAAAGCACACCUAGA